AUUGAACGCUGGCGGCACGCCUUACACGUGCAAGUCGAACGGUAACAGGUCUUCGGAUGCUGACGAGUGGCGAACGGGUGAGUAAUACAUCGGAACGUGCCUAGUAGUGGGGGAUAACUACUCGAAAGAGUGGCUAAUACCGCAUGAGAUCUACGGAUGAAAGCAGGGGAUCGCAAGACCUUGCGCUAAUAGAGCGGCCGAUGGCAGAUUAGGUAGUUGGUGGGAUAAAAGCUUACCAAGCCGACGAUCUGUAGCUGGUCUGAGAGGACGAUCAGCCACACUGGGACUGAGACACGGCCCAGACUCCUACGGGAGGCAGCAGUGGGGAAUUUUGGACAAUGGGCGCAAGCCUGAUCCAGCAAUGCCGCGUGCAGGAUGAAGGCCUUCGGGUUGUAAACUGCUUUUGUACGGAACGAAAAGCCCUGGGUUAAUACCCUGGGGUCAUGACGGUACCGUAAGAAUAAGCACCGGCUAACUACGUGCCAGCCGCCGCGGUAAAAC
rnacentral:rRNA from 1 species